UGGCGGACGGGUGAGUAAUGUCUGGGAAACUGCCUGAUGGAGGGGAUAACUACUGGAAACGGUAGCUAAUACCGCAUAACGUCGCAAGACCAAAGAGGGGGACCUUCGGGCCUCUUGCCAUCGGAUGUGCCAGAUGGGAUUAGCUAGUAGGUGGGGUAACGGCUCACCUAGGCGACGAUCCCUAGCUGGUCUGAGAGGAUGACCAGCCACACUGGAACUGAGACACGGUCCAG
rnacentral:rRNA from 1 species